UCUCUGGUAGUAUAUCGGUUAGUACACGCGCCUGUCAUAGCUGGUAUGGUUAAGGUUUUCGCGCGAAAGCUGGGUUCGACUCCCAUUCAGAGAG